rnacentral:misc_RNA from 1 species
GCAUCGAACUGCUUGCCUCACUUUCGAUCAGUUGUUGCUCCACGAGAUAAACGUUGGACGCAAGACAUGGGUUCCUGUGUUGCAUACCUAUUGCGACGGAAAUGUGUGCCUUCGAUCGUCCCUUCCAUCACGGCGUCCUCACGGAUGCUCGGUUGGACCGGAUAGUGGGGCUCGUGUUCCACGAACGUCGUCUCAUUCGAUCGUUCGGAUGGACCACGGGUGCCCACUCGUUCUCUCGGAUGCGGAAAUCUCUUGAUGGGCGUGGGGUCAUUGGCCCUUGGUCCCUAAUCGUUAAGCGUUUAUCGCUUCACCGGAAUGACGAUCUCGCCUUGUCCUUGACCACGCGAAGCCCUCGUGCAUCGCGACGGAUCAUGCUCGGCGGC